AGAGUUUGAUUAUGGCUCAGGAUGAACGCUAGCGACAGGCUAACACAUGCAAGUCGAGGGGCAGCAUAAAAGUAGCAAUACUUGGUGGCGACCGGCGCACGGGUGAGUAACGCGUAUGCAACCUACCUAUCAGAGGGGAAUAACCCGGCGAAAGUCGGACUAAUACCGCAUAAAACAGGGACACCGCAUGGUGAUAUUUGUUAAAGAAAUUCGCUGAUAGAUGGGCAUGCGUUCCAUUAGGUAGUUGGUGAGGUAACGGCUCACCAAGCCGACGAUGGAUAGGGGAACUGAGAGGUUGGUCCCCCACACUGGUACUGAGACACGGACCAGACUCCUACGGGAGGCAGCAGUGAGGAAUAUUGGUCAAUGGGCGAGAGCCUGAACCAGCCAAGUCGCGUGAAGGAAGAAGGAUCUAUGGUUCGUAAACUUCUUUUGCAGGGGAAUAAAGUGCAGGACGUGUCCUGUUUUGUAUGUACCCUGAGAAUAAGGAUCGGCUAACUCCGUGCCAGCCGCCGC
rnacentral:rRNA from 1 species